AAAAGCUUUCUUUAAUUGAAUAAUUGAAUUUAAUUNANNANNGCAAAAGCAAAAAUAAAAAUUAGGGACAAGAAGACCCUAUGAAUUUUUUAUUAAAUUUUAUAAAACUUUAUAUAAAAUUUAAUUUAAUUGGGGUGAUGGAAAAAGAAUAAAUAUCUUUUUUUUAAAAAAAAUUGGUUCCGUUUUUAGCGAUUAAAUGAAAAAAAUACUCUAGGGAUAACAGCGUAAUAAUUUUGGAUAGUUCAUAUAGAUAAAAUAGUUUGCGACCUCGAUGUUGGAUUAGGAUUCUUUUUUGGUGAAGAAGUUAAAAAAA
rnacentral:rRNA from 1 species